CUCCCCCUCCAGCCUCCACCCCGUCCUCGCCGCUCUAGGAAGGCGAGCCCGGCGACCCCCUAGCCGCCGCCCCCCAAGCUCUAUGAUAACAAGGGACAGAGAGCUCAAGGCACCUGCCGAAAGUCACAUGCAGAGAAUGCAGAGCCUGGGCUCCAACCGUGGGCUCGCUCCCGAUUCCUGUAUUUGACUGUGCCUAAACUGCCUCCCAUUAUGGACCAUUGAUCCCAGUAGCUGAGGAUUCACCUACUUUCCUCAUGUGAGGCAGGCACUUAGGAAGCACUCACUGAAUGUCAGCUGUUAUUUCAGUGUUCUCAUAUAAGUAGAUGUUUUAAAAUUAUUGUUUACACCACAGUGUGCUGGCAGGCCAAGUCAUUGCCCACCCCACCCCCCAACACUCCCCACCCCACACACUUGGCUGGCUCUCACGUCAGUGGCAGAUGACUUACCGUAAUUAUUUAUAAGUGUUUUAUUAUCAUCAUCACUGAAACAGUCACCAAUAAUAAAUAAAUAAACAUAAAUGACGGAUUAAGAAAAGAGAAACAGUCACGGAGCUUGGGAGUCAGGAAGAUGGGGAUAUACAAUUCCCUUGUUGAAUAACACCUCUCACAGCCUCAAGAAUCUGUACAAAUUUGCUUAAUUUAGGACCUGAUCCUAGCAAAGUCUCAGUGAAAAUGCUAGUGAUUAGCAGGACUUAUUAGUGCUAUUAUUUCUGCUGUGGCUGCUGAAUACCCUCAUAUCUCAAUCUGCAUCAAUCAUAAGAUGUGUGUUGUUGAUCUAAUGACAUCUUUUCAGGAUAAAAAAUAGUACUGUAUUAAACGUGCAUGUAAAUAGUAAGAUAUGCCUGUGUCUCACCUUCAGAAAUAUCACAAAAGUAAAUUUUUAAAUACUAA